AUUAAUAUUAUUUGAGUAAAACCCUGAAAACCAUUUCUGUCUGUUUUAGCUUUUUGAGAUGUUUCCAAAGGAAAUAAUCUCAAUAAAUUCCCAUAAAAUUACAGGAGCCCUCCCAAGCCAUAUUAGGUGCUCACAUAAAAUCUCACCUUGAUCCAAGGUGGGGAAGUGCACCUCAUGAGCCCAAAACCCUCUCUGUCCAGAGAAGAGUUGGAACAAGUCUACAUUGCAAAGUUUCUCCAAUGGAGCUGAAACUUUGAAGAGGUGUUUGACACCCCAAAUGAAGACUCCACACCAAAGAUGAGAUUUGUGAGACUCUGAUUGGCCACACUUCCUUUGUAAAGGACAGUACUGGUCAUUUUGGAGCAUUUCCAAGUUUACAAAGCUAAACUUGUUCAAUGGACCUCAAAUUUGGUGGAACCCCAUGUUUUUACCCCAAGACCAAACCUGUUAAGUGUCAGUUCCAGUGGUGGAGUGGAAUCACUCCAAAUCACUGUCGAACACCUUCUGGCAGGAAGGUAAAAACCCUCCUAGCCACUGUUUUACCCAAUGUCAAAGCCCCAAACUUGGUGAGUUAGAGCCCCAGAACACCCUGAGCACUCAGUCAACCAGCCCCUCCCCAACUCCAAGCACAAGUGACAAGAUCUUCAAUUUGAGCCGCAUGCUAGGACUGGCAACGUUGGUGUUCCUUGCCUCCUUUCACCAGCUCGUGCUCCCACUAGCACACAACGGCUAGUCACACUCCCAGCAACACUCAGGACAUGGAGGACACGUCCAAAGUGCCCCAGAGCGCACCAGCAUGCCGUGGCAUGCCAAAACCGCGCUCUGUACGCGCUACAGAGAACCUCCAGCAAGGGGACGUCGCCCCCGGCCAGUUCCAACCUCCCCAGUAGUGUCCAAACACUCCCCCGACAGCCACUCAUUGCAAAGCUACCAUCAGGGGCGCCC
rnacentral:lncRNA from 1 species